UUGUUUGAUGAAAGGAGAGAUGGUUGGUAUCUCCCCUGACAGGGACGGGAGUUAGCUUUCAAGCUUAUUUGGUACACAUCCGGUUAAGGCUACCCACCCUUGUGUUGGAUAUAUAACCCAAUUUUUUU